rnacentral:rRNA from 1 species
CGCCCUUAGAGUUUGAUCAUGGCUCAGGACGAACGCUGGCGGCGUGCCUAAUACAUGCAAGUUGAGCGUUGGUACUUGUACCAAGAGCAGCGAACGGGUGAGUAACGCGUGGGGAAUCUGCCUUUGAGCGGGGGACAACAUUUGGAAACGAAUGCUAAUACCGCAUAAAAACUUAACACAAGUUUAAGUUGAAAGAUGAUUGCAUCACUCAAAGAUGAUCCCGCGUUGUAUUAGCUAGUUGGUGAGGUAAAGGCUCACCAAGGCGAUGAUACAUAGCCGACCUGAGAGGGUGAUCGGCCACAUUGGGACUGAGACACGGCCCAAACUCCUACGGGAGGCAGCAGUAGGGAAUCUUCGGCAAUGGACGAAAGUCUGACCGAGCAACGCCGCGUGAGUGAAGAAGGUUUUCGGAUCGUAAAACUCUGUUGGUAGAGAAGAACGUUGAUGAGGAAACUCAUCAAGUGACGGUA